ACUGACAGCCAUGGUUACCGCGGCUGCUGGCACGGAGUUAGCCGGUGCUUCUUCUGCGAGUAACGUCACAGAUGUAAGGUAUUAACUUACACCCUUUCCUCCUCGCUGAAAGUGCUUUACAACCCGAAGGCCUUCUUCACACACGCGGCAUGGCUGCAUCAGGGUUUCCCCCAUUGUGCAAUAUUCCCCACUGCUGCCUCCCGUAGGAGUCUGGGCCGUGUCUCAGUCCCAGUGUGGCUGAUCAUCCUCUCAGACCAGCUAGGGAUCGUCGCCUAGGUGAGCCUUUACCUCACCUACUAGCUAAUCCCACCUGGGCUUAUCCAUCAGCGCAAGGCCCGAAGGUCCCCCUGCUUUCCCCCGUAGGGCGUAUGCGGUAUUAGCAGUCGUUUCCAACUGUUACUCCCCCACAAAUGGGCAAAUUCCCAGGCAUUACUCACCCGUCCGCCGCUCGUCAUCUUCAAAAGCAAGCUUUUGAAAUGUUACCGCUCGACUUGCAUGUGUUAGGCCUGCCGCCAGCGUUCAAU
rnacentral:rRNA from 1 species